CAUUACCGAGUUGCAAAACUCCCAAACCCACGCGUACCUACCUGUGUCGUUGCUUCGGCGGCGUCGCCCCGGGGGGCCUCGGCUCCCGGGGGCGGCCGCCGGAGGUCACCAAACUCUUAUGUAUCAAUGUGGACUCUCUGAGAAAUAAACACAAAUAAUAAAAACUUUCAACAACGGAUCUCUUGGUUCUGGCAUCGAUGAAGAACGCGGCGAAAUGCGAUACGUAAUGUGAAUUGCAGAAUUCAGUGAAUCAUCGAAUCUUUGAACGCACAUUGCGCCCGCCAGUAUUCUGGCGGGCAUGCCUGUCCGAGCGUCAUUUCAACCCUCAGGCCCAGCCUGGCAUUGGGGCACCGCGCAGCGCGCGCGGGCCCUGAAAUACAGUGGCGAGCCCGCCUGGACUCCGAGCGUAGUAGUGUAAAAGCCUCGCUCAGGGCGUCCCGGUGCGCGUCUGCCGUAAAACCACCCAAACUUAUCAAGGUUGACCUCGGAUCAGGUAGGAAUACCCGCUGAACUUAAGCAUAUCAAUAA
rnacentral:rRNA from 1 species